rnacentral:rRNA from 1 species
CUUCCUACGGGAGGCAGCAGUGGGGAAUAUUGCACAAUGGGCGAAAGCCUGAUGCAGCAACGCCGCGUGAAGGAAGACGGUUUUCGGAUUGUAAACUUCUAUCAAUAGGGAAGAAAGAAAUGACGGUACCUAAAUAAGAAGCCCCGGCUAACUACGUGCCAGCAGCCGCGGUAAUACGUAGGGGGCGAGCGUUAUCCGGAAUUACUGGGUGUAAAGGGAGCGUAGACGGCGAGGUAAGCCUGAAGUGGAAGCCCGCGGCCCAACCGCGGAACUGC